rnacentral:lncRNA from 1 species
AAGGUGUCUUGGUCCAUUGUGCUGCUAUAAUAGAAUACAUGAGACUUGACAAUUUAAAAUGAACAGAUAUUUAUCGGCUCAGAGUUCUGGAGGCUGGGAAGUACAAUAUCAAGAUGCUGGCUGUUUGCGAGGGUCUUCUUGCUACAUCAUUUCAUGGCAGAAGAUUUGGAUGGCAAAUCGUCUUUCUGCAAUUGUUUUAUGGCUGCCAUUGCAAUUAAGAAAUGGAAAAUAAAUUUCUGAAAUCCAACAAAGUCUGAUCUUAUCAGCAUCAGAACCAUGUAUGGAAAAAUCCUCAUAAGUGGAGCGGUUGAACCUUGGAAAUAUAUCAGCCUUCGAAAAUUGCAGCUGGAGACAUCUGUCAUUUGUGAGAGUGAAGGUUUAGUUGGCUUCAUACCUGAGCUAGGGGUUCUUGAGAUCCCGCAUUUGUUUUAGGCGAAGAGAAAUCAGUGUUUCUCUCUUGUGAAAUGCUUUGGAUGUUUGAGGAAAAAUACACGUUUAUUGAAGUAUAACAAAUAUACAGAAAAGUGUACAGACCACAGGUCAUAGUUUUAUCAAUUUCCACAAAGGAAGUUACUAAUACCCUGAAAAAUAAAUACACUAUGAUUAGAAGCCCAAAGUCCAUUCUGGUAUAACCAUCCAGUCUUUACAGCCCCAAAUGUAACCACCACCUUGACUUUUUUUUUUUUUUAAGAUGGAGUUUUGCUCUGUUGCCCAGGCUGGCGUGCAAUGGUGUGAUCUCGGCUCACUGCAACCUCCACCUCCUGGGUUCAAGCAAUUCUUCUGCCUCAGACUCCUGAGUAGCUGGGAUUACAGGUGUGUGCCACCAUGCCCAGCUAAUUUUGUAUUUUUAGUAGAGAUGGGUUUCACCAUGUUGGUCAGGCUGGUCUCAAACUCCUGACCUCAGAUGAUCCGCCCACCUCGGCCUCCCAAAGUGCUGGGAUUACAAGCGUGAGCCACUGUGCUGGGCCCAUCUUGACUUCUAAACUGUGGAAUAGUUUUGCCUGAUUCUGGAAUUUAUAUAAAUGUAACCAAAGAGGAUAUACUUUUUGGGUCUGUCUCUGUUAGCUGAACAUUAUGUUUGUAAGAUUUAUUCCUGGUGUUGCAUGUAGCAAAUCGGUGUCAUCCUCACUGCUCUAUAGUACUAACUAUUCUGUUGUAUGAAAAGUCCACAAUUUUUCAUUAAUAUUAACAAUGUUCCUAUAAACAUUCUUAUAUAUGUUUUUUAGGGAAGAUAGAGACACAUUUGUGUGUGUGCGUGUGUGUGUGUCUGUGUGUAUAUAUACCAAGGAGUGGAACUGCUGGAGCAUAUGGUAAUCAUUUCUAGUGGAAACUGCUGAAUAGUUUUUCCCAAGAAGUUUUAUGUGAAUUCCACCUGCUUUUCAUCCUUGUCAACUCUUGGUACUGUCAUUUUUAUUUUUACCCUUAAUGGCAGAUGGUCGUGGUGUCUCAUUCUUGUUUCAGCUGAAGAAGCUGAGUGCCUUUAGAUAUGUUUACUGGCCCUUUGGAUAUCCUCUUUUGCAAAGUGUCUGUUCAAGUUUCUUGGCCAGUUUUUCUAUUGGAUUGUCUGUAUUUUUCUUAUUGAUUUUAGGAGUUCUCUUGUAUUCUGAAUCGGAGCCUUUUGUCAGUAAGAUGUAUGGAAACAUCUUCCACUCUGGGGCUUAACUUUUUACUUCUUAGUGAUGUCUUUGAUGAACAGACGUUAUUAAUUUUAACAUAAUAUAAUUGAUCAAUUUUUGUUUAUUUUAUGGUUAGUCCCUUUUAAAUUCUGUUUAAUAAAUCUGUUUAAUAAAUUUUAUAUUUUUUGUUUUUUAUAAAUUUUAUUAAAAUAUUCUUUUAUGAUUUAUUCCAGAAGCCCUAUUUUUUUAAACAAAUUUAAUUGAUAUAUAAUAAUUAUACAGUCAGGUGUGGUGGCUCAUGCCUGUAAUACCAGCACCUUGGGAGGCUGAGGCGGGCAGAUUACUUGGGCCUAGGAGUUCAACAUGGUGAAACCCCAUCUCUACAAAAAAUACAAAAAUUAGCCGAGUAUGGUAGCAUGUGUCUGUAGUCCUAGCUACUUGGGAGGCUGAGGUGGGAGGAUCACUGGAGCCUGGGAGGUCGAGGCUGCAGUGAACCGAGAUCUCAGCACUGCACCACAGCCUGGGCAACAGAGCAAGACCUUGUCGCAACAAAAAUAGUUAUACAUAUUUUUGGGGUACCUGUGAUAUUUUGAUACAUGUAUACAAUGUGUAACAAUCAGGGUAACUGGGAUAUCCAUCACCUCAAACAUUUAUCUUUUCUUUGUGUCGGGAAUAUUAUAAUUAUCUUCUAGCUAUUUUGAUAUGUACAAUAAAUUAUUCUUAAUUGUAAUUUCCCUACUGUACUAUUGAAUGUUAGAACUUAUUCCUACUAUUUAACUGCACUUUUGUACCUAUUAACUAACUUCUUUUUAUGCCCCCUUCUCCCUUCCCUUCCCAGCCCCUGGUAACCAGCAUUCUAUCCUCUACUGCCAUGGGAUCCACUUUUUUAGCUCCCACAGAUGAAUGAGAACAUGUGAUAUUUGACUUUCUGUGCGCCAAGAAGCUCAGUUUUUUAGCUUUCACAUAUAGAUAGAUCUACAGUAUAUCUGGAACUGGUAUUUGCAUAUGAGGUGAGGCAGAAGCUCAAGAUUCACAUUUUCCCCUGUGGUUACCCAACUGAUUCAUAUCCAGUUGACCCAGCAACACUGACUAAAAAGAAUAUCCUUUUCCUAACUAAUCGUGUGUUACUUUAAUCAUACAUCAAGUGGACUCUUUUCUUUUCCAUUGACUAAUAUCUAUCCUUUCACUAAUUCUCUUAAUUACUGCAGCAAUGUAAUAAGUCUUGAUACCUGAAAGUGAAAGACUAACUGUUCUUUGUAUUACUAUACAAAUAUUUGAACCAGCUUGUUAAAUUUAUUAAACAAAAUUUAGCUGGGAUUUGGACUGGGAUUGCACUGAAUUUAUAGAUCAAUUUGGGAGAAAAUGAUAAUUUUACAAUAUUGAGUCUUCUAAUUUAUGAAUAUAAUAUCUCUCUCCCAAUAAUUUUAGUUAUUUUUUAUUUUAUUUAUUUUAUUUUUGGGGACAGGGUCUUGCACUGUCACCCAGGUUGGAGUACAGUGGCACAAUCAUCUCUCACUGCAAUCUUAACCUCCUGGGCUCAAUCAAUUCUCCUACCUCAGCCUUCCAAGUAGCUAGGACUACAAACGUGUGCCAGUAGGCAUGGCUAAUUUUUGUUUGUUUGUUUGUUUGUUUUGGAGAGAUGGGGUUUCGCUAUGUUGCCCAGGCUGUUCUCAAACUCCUGGUCUCUAGCAAUCUGUUCACCUUGGCCUCCCAAAGUGCUGGGAUUAUAGGCAUGAGCCACCAUGCCCAGCCAACAUUUUGUAUUUUUUUGGAGUAGAGAUGUUACACUUCACUCAUUAGAUUUAUUUCUAAGUACUUGAUGAUUUAUUCCAGAAUAAAUUAUUUAUUUAUUCAUUUUUGUGAUAAAGUGACUUGUAUUUAGUAAAAUUCUCAUGAAUGCGCUAUCAAGUUCCAUAUAGCAGUACGGUUACCCAGCCAAUUCUGGAAUGCAGAAAAACUUGGAGUAUGUCAGUUGUGUCUUUUCCCAAUCUUCUGUUUUUACAACAGAAGCAGAAGAGGAGGGAUUGUAGGGUAAUCUUCUUUAUUUUUAUAUUUAUUUUUCCAUAGGUUAUUGGGGUACAGGUUGUAUUCGGUUACAUGAAUAAGUUCUUUAGUGGAGCUUUGUGAGAUUUUGGUGCACCCAUCACCCGAGCAGUGUACACCGUAUCCUAUUUGUAGUCUUUUAUCCCUCGCCCUGCUCCCACCGUUCCCUUCAAGUCCCCAAAGUCCAUUGUAUCAUUCUAUGCCUUUGCGUCCUCAUAGCUUAGCUCCCACAUAUCAGUGAGAACAUACGGUGUUUGAUUUUCCAUUCCUGAAUUACUUCACUUAGAAUAAUAGUCUCCAGUCUCAACCAGGUCACUGCAAAUGCUGUGAAUUCUUUCCUUUUUAUGGCUGAGUAGUAUUCCAUCAUUCUUCUACAUGUGGCUAGCCAUUUGUUGAAAAGGGUGUCCUUUCCCCACUUUAUGUUUUUGUUUGUUUUGUCGAAGAUCAGUUGGCUGUAAGUAUUUGGGUUUAUUUUUGGGUUCUCUAUUCUGUUCCAUUGGUCUAUGUGCCUAUUUUAAUAUUAGUACCACACUGUUUUGGUGACUAUAGCCUUAUAGCAUAGUGUGAAAUCAGGUAGUGUGAUGCCUUCAGAUUUGUUCUUUUUGCUUAGUCUUGCUUUGGCUAUGCAGGCUCUUUUUUGGUUUCAUAUGACUUUUAGAAUUGUUGUUUCUAAUUCUGUGAAGUAUAAUGGUGGUAUUUUGAUGGGGAUUGUGUUGAAUUUGUGGAUUGCUUUUGGCAGUAUGGUCAUUUUCACAAUAUUGAUUCUACCCAUUCAUGAGCAUGGGAUGUGUUUCCAUUUGUUUGUGUCAUCUAUGAUUUCUUUCAGCAGUGUUUUGUAGUUUUCCUCAUAGUGGUCUUUUGCCUCCUUGGUUAGGUAUAUUCCUAAGUAUUUUAUUUUAUUUUUUGCAGCUAUUGUAAAAGGAGUUGAGUUCUUGAUUUGACUCUCCACUUGGUCGCUGUUGGUGUAUAGAAGAGCUAUUGAUUUGUGUACAUUAAUCUUGCAUCUGGAAACUUUGCUGAAUUCUUUGAUUUGUUCUAGGAACUUUCCAGAGGAGUCCUUAGGGCUUUCAAGGUAAACGAUCAUAUCACCAGCAAACAGUGACAAUUUGACUUCCUCUUUACCAGUUUGGAUGCCCUUUAUUUCUUUCUCUUGUCUGAUUGCUCUGGCUAGGACUUCUAGUACUAUGUUGAAGAGGAGUGGUGAGAGUGGGCAUCCUUGUCUUGUUCCGGUUCUCUGAGGGAAUGCUUUCAACUUUUCCCCAUUCAGUAUUAUGUGGCUGUGGGUUUGUCAUAGAUGGCUUUUAUUACAUUGAGGUAUGUCCCUUGUAUGCCAAUUUUGCUGCGAGUUUUAAUCAUAAAGGAAUGCUGGAUUUUGUCAAAUGCUUUUUUUGCAUCUUUAAGAUGAUCGUGUGAUUUUUGUUUUUAAUUCUGUUUAUGUGGUGUAUCACAUUUAUUGACUUGUGUAUGUUAAACCAUCCCUGCAUCCGUGGUAUGAAACCCACUUGAUCAUGGUGCAUUAUCUUUUCGACAUGUUAUUGGAUUAGUUAGCUAGUAUUUUGUGAAGGAUUUUAGCAUCUAUGUUCAUCAGGGACAUCAGUCUGUAGUUUUCUUUUUUGGUUAUGUCCUUUCCUGGUUUUGGUAUUAGGGUAAUGCUGGCUUCAUAUAAUGAAAUAGGGAGAGUUCCCUCUUUCUCUAUCUUGUGGAAUAGUGUCAAAAGGAUUGGAACCAAUUCUUCUUUGAAUGUCUGGUAGAAUUCUGCUGUGAAUCCAUCUGGUCCCGAACUUUUUUUUGUUGGUAAUUUUUUAAUUACCAUUUCAAUCUCACUGCUUGUUAUUGGUCUGCUCAGGGUAUCUAAUUCUUCCUGAUUUAAGGUAGGAGGGUUGUAUUUUUCCAGGAAUUUAUCCACCUCUUCUAGGUUUUCUAGUUUAUGUGGGUAAAGGUAUUCAUAGUAGCCUUGAAUGAUCUUUUGUAUUUCUGUUGUGUCAGUUGUAGUAUCUCCUGUUUUGUUUCUUACUGAGGUUAUUCGGAUUUUCUCUCUUUUUUUCUUGGUUAAUCUUGCUAAUGGUCUAUCAAUUUUAUUUAUCUUUUCGAAGAACCAGCUUUUUGUUUCAUUUACCUUUUGUAUUUUUUUGUUUCAAUUUCAUUUUAUUCUGCUCUGAUCUUGGUUAUUUCCUUUCUUCUGCUGGGUUUGGAUGUGGUUUGUUCUUGUUUCUCUAGUUCCUUGAGGUGUGACCUUAGAGUGUCAGUUUGUGUUCUUUCAGUUUUCUUGAUGUAGGCCCUUAGGGCUGUGAACUUUCCUUUUAGCACUGCGUUUGCUGUAUCCCAGAAGUUUUGAUAGGUUGUGUCAUUGUCAUUCAGUUUGAAGAAUUUUUAAAUUUCCAUCUUGAUUUUGUUUUUGGCCCAAUGAUCACUCAGGAUCAGGUUAUUUUAUUUUCAUGUAUUUGCAUGGUUUUCAAGGUUCCUUUUAGAGUUGAUUUCCAGUUUUAUUUCACUGUGGUCUGAGAGAGUGCUUGAUAUAAUCUCAAUUUUCUUAACUUUAUUGAGGCUCAUUUUGUGGCCUAUCAUAUGGUCUAUCUUGGAGAAAGUUCCAUGUGCUGUUGAAUAGAAUGUGAAUUCUGCAGUUGUUGAAAGAAAUGUUCUGUAUAUAUCUGUUAAGUGCAUUUGUUCCAAGGCAGAGUUUAAAUCCAUUGUUUCUUUGUUGACUUUCUGUCCUGAUGACCUGUCUAGUGCUGUCAGUGGUGUAUUGAAGUCCCCCACUAUUAUUGUAUUGCUGUCUGUCUCCUUUCUUAGGUCUAUUAGUAAUUGUUUUAUAAAUUUGGGAGCUCCAGUGUUAGGUGCAUAUAUGUUUAGGAUUGUGAUAUUUUCUUGUUGGACAAGGCCUUUUACUGUUAUAUAAUGUGUCUUUAAACCACUGUUGCUUUAAAGUUUUUUUUUUUCUAAUACAAGAAUAGCUACCCCUGCUCACUUUUGGUGUCCAUUUUCAUGAAAUGCCUUUUUCCAUCCCUUUACUUUAAGUUUAUGUGAGUCCUUUUGUGUUAGGUGAGUCUCCUGCAGGCAGCAGAUAGUUGGUUGGUGAGUUCUUAUCCAUUCUGCAGUUCUGUAUCUUUUAAGUGGAGCAUUUAGGCCAUUUAUGUUCAAUAUUAGUAUUGAGAUGUUAGGUACUGUUGCAUUCAUUCUACUAUUUGUUGCCUGUGUACCUUGGUUUUUUUGUUUGUGCUUUUUAACUUGUAUUUUUGUUUUAUAGGUCCUGUGUGAUUUAUGCUUUAAAGAGGUUCUGUUUUGAUGUGUUUCCAGGAUUUGUUUGAAGAUUUAGAGCUCCUUUUAGCAGUUCUUGUAGUGGUGGCUUGGUAGUGGUGAAUUCUCUCAGCAUUUGUUGGUCUGAAAAUGACUGUAUCUUUCUUUCAUAUAUGAUGCUUAGUUUCACUGGAUACAAAAUCCUUGGCUGAUAAUUGUUUCGUUUGAGGAGGCCAAAGAUAGGGCCUCAAUCCCUUCUAGCUCGUAGAGUUUCUGCUGAGAAAUCUGCUGUUAAUAUGAUAGGUUUUCUUUUAUAGGUUACCUGGUAUCUUUGUCUCACAGCUCUUAAGAUUCUUUCCUUCAUUUUAACUUUAGAUAACCUGAUGACAAUGUGCCUAGGCAAUGACCUUUUUUUGAUGGAUUUCCCAGGUGUUCUUUAUGCUUCUUGUAUUUGGAUGUCUAGGUCUCUAGCAAGGCUGGGGAAUUUUUCCUCAAUUAUUCCCCUAAAUAUGUUUUCCAAACUUUCAGAUUUCUCUUCUUCCUCAGGAACACCAUUUAUUCUUAGGUUUGGUCAUUUAACAUAAUCUCAGACUUCUUGGAGGCUUUGUUUAUAUUUUCUUAUUCUUUUUUGUCUUUGUAGGAUUGGGUUAAUUAGAAGACCUUGUCUUUGAGCUCUGAAUUUCUUUCUUCUACUUGUUCAAUUCUAUAGCUGAGGCUUUCCAGAGCAUUUUGUGUUUCUCUAAGUGGGUCCAAUGUUUCCUGAAGUUUUAAUAGUUUUUUGUUUUGCUAUUUCCUUGAAUAUUUUUCCCUUCACUUCUUCUAUCAUUUUUUGGAUUUCCUUUUAUUGGGCUUCACCUUUCUCUCGUGCCUCCCUGAUUAGCUUAAUAACUAAC